rnacentral:tRNA from 1 species
GCCCGGGUGGCAGAGGGGUUAUGCGUCCGACUGCAGAUCGGAGGAGAUGAGUUCAAGUCUCAUCCCGGGCU